rnacentral:rRNA from 1 species
CAGCAGCCGCGGUAAUACAGAGGGUGCGAGAGUUAAUCGGAUUUACUGGGCGUAAAGCGUGCGUAGGCGGCUUUUUAAGUCGGAUGUGAAAUCCCUGAGCUUAACUUAGGAAUUGCAUUCGAUACUGGGAAGCUAGAGUAUGGGAGAGGAUGGUAGAAUUCCAGGUGUAGCGGUGAAAUGCGUAGAGAUCUGGAGGAAUACCGAUGGCGAAGGCAGCCAUCUGGCCUAAUACUGACGCUGAGGUACGAAAGCAUGGGGAGCAAACAGGAUUAGAUACCCCAGUAGUCCCUGUCUCUUAUAC